GUCGUCGGUGGCUCAGCGGAGUGAGCGUUUGCCUUGUAAGCAGGAGAUCCCGGGUUAGAGUCCCGGUCGGGGCA